rnacentral:rRNA from 1 species
CGAGGCGAACCGGGGAAACUGAAACAUCUCAGUACCCCGAGGAAAAGAAAUCAACCGAGAUUCCCCCAGUAGCGGCGAGCGAACAGGGAGCAGCCCAGAGUCAACAUCAAUAUUUACCGCAGGAGAAAGAUCUYGAAAGGCCGGCAAUAAAGGGUGAUAGCCCCGUAUCUGAAGCGGUAAGUGUUGUGAACUCGAAGAGUAAGGCGGGACACGUGUUAUCCUGUCUGAAUAUGGGGGGACCAUCCUCCAAGGCUAAAUACUCCUGACUGACCGAUAGUGAACCAGUACCGUGAGGGAAAGGCGAAAAGAACCCCGGCGAGGGGAGUGAAAUAGAACCUGAAACCGUGUACGUACAAGCAGUAGGAGCACCCGAAAAGGUGUGACUGCGUACCUUUUGUAUAAUGGGUCAGCGACUUAUAUUCUGUAGCAAGGUUAACCGCAUAGGGGAGCCGUAGGGAAACCGAGUCUUAACUGGGCGUUAAGUUGCAGGGUAUAGACCCGAAACCCGGUGAUCUAGCCAUGAGCAGGUUAAAG